UACAGAGGUCUCAAGCGUUGUUCGGAUUCAUUGGGCGUAAAGGGCGCGUAGGCUGCGGGGCAAGUCGGGUGUGAAAUCUCAGAGCUCAACUCUGAAACUGCACUCGAUACUGCUUUGCUUGAGGACUGGAGAGGAGAUUGGAAUUCACGGUGUAGCAGUGAAAUGCGUAGAUAUCGUGAGGAAGACCAGUGGCGAAGGCGGAUCUCUGGACAGUUCCUGACGCUGAGGCGCGAAGGCCCAGGGGAGGCAAACGGG
rnacentral:rRNA from 1 species